rnacentral:rRNA from 1 species
CCCUUAGAUGUCCGGGGCCGCACGCGCGCUGCACUGGGGCACGUAGCGUGCGUAUUGUCACCUGGUAUCCAAUGCGUACCGGGAAACCAUAGAAAUGUGCAUCUCGUUACUGGGAUAGGGCAUUGUAAUGAUGCUCUUGAACGAGGAAUUCCUAGUAAGCGUAAGUCAACAACUAGCGUUGAUUACGUCCCUGCCCUUUGUACACACCGCCCGUCGCUACUACCGAUUGAAUGAUUUAGUGAGGUGUUUGGAUCGCGACUACUGAACGUUCAUUCGUGGACGUUUGUCGGUUGCGAAAAGUCCACCAAACUUGAUCAUUUAGAGGAAGUAAAAGUCGUAACA